CGCCCCUUGUGUUUUUAGAGAUGGGGGGUCGGACCUGCCCGGUGACUUGAGGGUUAAACGGCCGCAGUAUACUGACUGUGCAAAGGUAGCGUAAUCAUAUGCCUCUUAAUUGGGGGCCUGUAUGAAUGGUUUGACAAGGGGGUGACUGUCUCUCCGGUAUGUAUAAUUAAUUUAAAUUUUGGGUGAAGAUGCCCGGUUUCUGCUGAGGGACGAUAAGACCCUGAUGAACUUUAGUGGAUUUUUAUGGGAAAUUGAAGGCAAAUUUGUAUUUCUAAGUGUUAUUGAAUGAAUCUUUGGUUGGGGCAACCGAGGGAUAGAAUUACUUCCCUUUAAAGGAGUUGUUGAGGUAUAUUGAUCAAGGAUCCAAACUUAUUGUUAAGGAAAAAAUGCUUCUUAUGUGUUGCAUUGGGUAAAUUUUUUUAAUUGUAGGUGUUGAUCAUAAGUAAAGUUACCACAGGGAUAACAGCACUAUUCUUUUGGAGAGUUCAUAUUG
rnacentral:rRNA from 1 species